rnacentral:lncRNA from 1 species
UUGCAUCGAGGAUUAUAAGAUUGUAUUUAAAUAAUUAAUUUUUAAUUUUGAUUAAUUUAGAUAAAAGUUUUAAAUUAUAAAUUCACCCAUAAAUUUUGAAUUUAUUACGCAAAUAGCUUGAAAAAAAUAAAUUAUUCCCACUCCAGACCAGCUCGAUCAAACGGUCAAUUUCCAUUGACCAUCGUCUCAAUUCCUUCCUCUGCAAACAACGAAGACCGAGCUCCACGUGCAGUGAUGCAUGCUCCUCCAAACCUCACCGCUUCCGCAACUUAGUCCCUUCUCUAAUCUAGUCCUAGUUUUAGCUACUACUUAUUCCAAUGGAGAAGAAAGAGUCUUCCUAUUAUUGCUCAGGCGACAUCUCGCAUUUGGAUAUUUCAAUUUCUUCCUAUCUGUUUGGUGCCUGGGGAAUUCGUCGAAAAGAAAACGAGAUUUAUCGAUCGUUUUCUUCCUUGGUUUACGAGUAAUGAGUUUCUUUUAGCUACAUUAUGCUGUACUUCCUUUUGUUUUCUUCGUUUUCUAUAUUUUGCUUUCUCGGCAGCCAAACAGAAAUUUGUUGUUUAUGGUCGAUUACAAACCGUCUUUUUAGGGUUUAGGUGUUGAUUUAUUGUGUUAUUGAUUUGUUUAUAAUCACAGUUAGGCGUUCUCUCUGAUUUCCAUUUAUUUAUUUGUUUCUUUGCAGUUCAUUUCCCGUGUUUUCAUCAUUUCGGUUGUAGGGGAAUUUCGCUGCACGUACUGGAAAUUAGAAUCAUUUCCUGCCAUAGAAUAUUCUACUGGUACGUAUAUCGAAUAAACUGUUAGUAAUUAAAUGGAAACGAUUGCUUACACAUCCAAAUUGCUGGAAAAACACCCCUUGGUUUAGUUCGAGCUAAAAGCUCAAAUGCGCUUUGCUUGAUCUAUCUGACACGGAUCAUUCUACAUUGCUUUCUUUGCACUCCCUUUUGUGCAGAUAGAAGCAAUAUUCAAAUGUAUAGUUUGCUCUAAGCCAAAUGUUCUAUGUAAAAUGUCACAAAAGAUUAGUGGAAUUCUAAUCUCACAAAAUAUUAGUUUGUUGAACUCUAAUUAUUCAAGAAGAUGCAACGAUGAUGAUAUGCAGAAAUACAUAUUAAAUAUAAGAGUAUGUUAUCCCUCUAUUGCUUCAUAUUUUUACACCUUGUAAUUUUCUCGAGUUUAUUUCUGUAACUUUAGCAUGUUCAGUUAUAGCUUCCUUUUGUUGGUUGACUAAUUGUUGCAUGUAUUAUAAUAUGUGAAAUGUAGACUAUUUGGUUCUUUACUUCAAGUUUUAGUUUGACUUAAUUAUAUCUUUAUGUGAUUUGGGGAGACUUACCGCCUUUUUUUUUUUUCCCUUCUAAUGAAGUCAUUUUGAGAUUGCGAAAUAUGAUGUUGAGAACUGAAGGCAAUUGGCUUCUUUAUAUGGUUGCUAUCAUUUAGGAAAUCACCCAGGCUGGUCAUCUCUCCUUCUAACAUCAUGCAUGACUCAGACAACAACUAUUUUCCCUUACUCAUUUGCCACCUACCCUUUGUAAUUUAUAGAUAUCGGGUCUAUGAUAAGUUAUUGUUUAACUGAUAAUUGGAAAUUACUCCUAUUCUGAAUUUUAGUUCACAAACAAUACUUGGUUCAUCAUCCGAUGAAAAAGGUGACCUGAUGCUUUGGAACAACUAGCUUAGUGCUGACAAUACUCUUAAGAUUAAUUAUUUUAAUUUUCCUUACAGCCAAAGAGUGGUGGCAUGGUAGUUGAAGUACAUAACAGCAGGUAUUUUUAAUUUUUUAAAAUCUGAUUGGAGUUGAUGACAUUCGAUACUUAACUUAUGAUGUCCUUCUCACGAGCAUUUAUAACAAUCAUUCCUUUGACUUUGUUUUGGGUUAUAUGGAAAGAGAGAUAGGAGGGCUUUUGAGGGUGUCGAAAAUGAUAUUCACAAAGUUAAGGACAGGUGGUUUCAUUAUUUUGGGUAUAGUUUAUUGGGCGGCCAUGAUUUACAUGUGACGGAGGAUUUUGGAUACAUAGUUGAUAUAAUGACUAACUUAUAAAUAUUUUAUACAUGGGCAGUAUCCCCUUGGUAUCUCAAUUUUAAUACAUUUGUUACUGUUACAUUAAAAAAAAUGUUUAGUAGUACUGGUCUUCUUAGGGUAUGCAUUUUUUGUCAUCUUCCUCUCUUUUCUCACUUAUUUAAAAGAAGAAAAAGAGAGAAAAGGGCUUAUCUUGAUAUUUCUCAAGUGGAUGCACAGAUUCAAUUUACUGCCAUCUAUUGCUUUGUAGAAGCCCAUUAUGAUUGUUGCUAGUGACAAUCAUUUACCAUCCUUGAGUAAUCAGAUGAACAAGCAAGAGAAUAAAACCCAGUCAAGUCGAGAUCUCAUGUUGGGGAAUGAUCUUUGGAGUAAGGGACUUAUAUGUGCUUUUGAGUAUGUUCAAGGCCAUCAGAAAUUGCACCAGAGUAACUCUGGCUCAAAAAUCCAGUCAGCACAAGUUGAAGAUGCACCUAAAAAAGNNN